rnacentral:rRNA from 1 species
CUACGGGUGGCUCCAGUGGGGAAUAUUGGACAAUGGGGGAAACCCUGAUCCAGCAAUGCUGCGUGUGUGAAGAAGGCCUGCGGGUUGUAAAGCACUUUCGGUUGGGAGGACUGCUUCUAGCACUAAUAUUGUUGGAAGUUGACGUUACCUUCAGAAGAAGCACCGGCUACUCCGUGCCAGCAGCCGCGGUGAAUACGGAGGGUGCAAGCGUUAAUCGGAAUUACUGGGCGUAAAGCGCGCGUAGGCGGCUAGAUCAGUCGGGUGUGAAAGCCCCGGGCUUAACCUGGGAACUGCAUCCGAUACUGUCUAGCUUGAGUAAAGGAGAGGAGAGUGGAAUUCCACAUGUAGAGGUGAAAUGCGUAGAUAUGUGGAGGAACACCAAUGGCGAAGGCAGCUCUCUGGCCUGAUACUGACGCUGAGGUGCGAAAGCGUGGGGAGCAAACAGGAUUAGAUACCCGUGUAGUC